rnacentral:misc_RNA from 1 species
GUAGAAUCUUGACAACCUUUAUAGAAUCUUGACAACCUUUAUUUGCUUAAAUUAGGCACAGUCCAUGCAUGAUGUAGAUAAAUAAAUUAUUAAUGCAAUCAUAGAGGAGAUUAUGAGACUCUGGCUGACCAAAAGUGAAGCGUGAUCCACCUAUAUGGCUGCAGAUCAAGUUUAGCUGUCCUUUUUUUCCUGAACCAAAUGACAAGAGAAAGAUGAGAGGCACAUUUAUUGGUUAGGAUGUGGCCAUUCCCACUCCAAACUUUUAAAAUGCACUCCAUCGUUUUUUUCAAAUAUAGAAAUGGUAAUAUUAUCCACACUUUGAUAUGAUUAAAUAACAAGGAAAGUAAUCUUCUUCUGACUCCAUAAUAUUUACUCCCUUAAUUCCAUAUUCUCUG